CGAGGGGAGUGAAAAAGAACCUGAAACCGUGUACGUACAAGCAGUGGGAGCACGCUUAGGCGUGUGACUGCGUACCUUUUGUAUAAUGGGUCAGCGACUUAUAUUCUGUAGCAAGGUUAACCGAAUAGGGGAGCCGAAGGGAAACCGAGUCUUAACUGGGCGUUAAGUUGCAGGGUAUAGACCCGAAACCCGGUGAUCUAGCCAUGGGCAGGUUGAAGGUUGGGUAACACUAACUGGAGGACCGAACCGACUAAUGUUGAAAAAUUAGCGGAUGACUUGUGGCUGGGGGUGAAAGGCCAAUCAAACCGGGAGAUAGCUGGUUCUCCCCGAAAGCUAUUUAGGUAGCGCCUCGUGAAUUCAUCUCCGGGGGUAGAGCACUGUUUCGGCAAGGGGGUCAUCCCGACUUACCAACCCGAUGCAAACUGCGAAUACCGGAGAAUGUUAUCACGGGAGACACACGGCGGGUGCUAACGUCCGUCGUGAAGAGGGAAACAACCCAGACCGCCAGCUAAGGUCCCAAAGUCAUGGUUAAGUGGGAAACGAUGUGGGAAGGCCCAGACAGCCAGGAUGUUGGCUUAGAAGCAGCCAUCAUUUAAAGAAAGCGUAAUAGCUCACUGGUCGAGUCGGCCUGCGCGGAAGAUGUAACGGGGCUAAACCAUGCACCGAAGCUGCGGCAGCGACGCUGAUGCGUUGUUGGGUAGGGGAGCGUUCUGUAAGCCUGCGAAGGUGUGCUGUGAGGCAUGCUGGAGGUAUCAGAAGUGCGAAUGCUGACAUAAGUAACGAUAAAGCGGGUGAAAAGCCCGCUCGCCGGAAGACCAAGGGUUCCUGUCCAACGUUAAUCGGGGCAGGGUGAGUCGACCCCUAAGGCGAGGCCGAAAGGCGUAGUCGAUGGGAAACAGGUUAAUAUUCCUGUACUUGGUGUUACUGCGAAGGGGGGACGGAGAAGGCUAUGUUGGCCGGGCGACGGUUGUCCCGGUUUAAGCGUGUAGGCUGGUUUUCCAGGCAAAUCCGGAAAAUCAAGGCUGAGGCGUGAUGACGAGGCACUGCGGUGCUGAAGCAACAAAUGCCCUGCUUCCAGGAAAAGCCUCUAAGCAUCAGGUAACAUCAAAUCGUACCCCAAACCGACACAGGUGGUCAGGUAGAGAAUACCAAGGCGCUUGAGAGAACUCGGGUGAAGGAACUAGGCAAAAUGGUGCCGUAACUUCGGGAGAAGGCACGCUGAUAUGUAGGUGAAGUCCCUCGCGGAUGGAGCUGAAAUCAGUCGAAGAUACCAGCUGGCUGCAACUGUUUAUUAAAAACACAGCACUGUGCAAACACGAAAGUGGACGUAUACGGUGUGACGCCUGCCCGGUGCCGGAAGGUUAAUUGAUGGGGUUAGCGCAAGCGAAGCUCUUGAUCGAAGCCCCGGUAAACGGCGGCCGUAACUAUAACGGUCCUAAGGUAGCGAAAUUCCUUGUCGGGUAAGUUCCGACCUGCACGAAUGGCGUAAUGAUGGCCAGGCUGUCUCCACCCGAGACUCAGUGAAAUUGAACUCGCUGUGAAGAUGCAGUGUACCCGCGGCAAGACGGAAAGACCCCGUGAACCUUUACUAUAGCUUGACACUGAACAUUGAGCCUUGAUGUGUAGGAUAGGUGGGAGGCUUUGAAGUGUGGACGCCAGUCUGCAUGGAGCCGACCUUGAAAUACCACCCUUUAAUGUUUGAUGUUCUAACGUUGACCCGUAAUCCGGGUUGCGGACAGUGUCUGGUGGGUAGUUUGACUGGGGCGGUCUCCUCCUAAAGAGUAACGGAGGAGCACGAAGGUUGGCUAAUCCUGGUCGGACAUCAGGAGGUUAGUGCAAUGGCAUAAGCCAGCUUGACUGCGAGCGUGACGGCGCGAGCAGGUGCGAAAGCAGGUCAUAGUGAUCCGGUGGUUCUGAAUGGAAGGGCCAUCGCUCAACGGAUAAAAGGUACUCCGGGGAUAACAGGCUGAUACCGCCCAAGAGUUCAUAUCGACGGCGGUGUUUGGCACCUCGAUGUCGGCUCAUCACAUCCUGGGGCUGAAGUAGGUCCCAAGGGUAUGGCUGUUCGCCAUUUAAAGUGGUACGCGAGCUGGGUUUAGAACGUCGUGAGACAGUUCGGUCCCUAUCUGCCGUGG
rnacentral:rRNA from 1 species